rnacentral:rRNA from 1 species
AACGAACGCUGGCGGCAUGCCUAACACAUGCAAGUCGAACGAGACCUUCGGGUCUAGUGGCGCACGGGGGCGUAACGCGUGGGAACCUGCCCUUAGGUUCGGAAUAACUCCCCGAAAGGGGUGCUAAUACCGGAUAAUGUCUUCGGACCAAAGAUUUAUCGCCUUUGGAUGGGCCCGCGUUGGAUUAGCUAGUUGGUAGGGUAAAAGCCUACCAAGGCGACGAUCCAUAGCUGGUCUGAGAGGAUGAUCAGCCACACUGGGACUGAGACACGGCCCAGACUCCUACGCGAGGCAGCAGUGGGGAAUAUUGGACAAUGGGCGAGAGCCUGAUCCAGCUAUGCCGCGUGAGUGAUGAAGGCCUUAGGGUUGUAAAGCUCUUUUACCCGGGAUGAUAAUGACAGUACCGGGAGAAUAAGCUCCGGCUAACUCCGUG